rnacentral:rRNA from 1 species
AUUCCAGCUCCAAUAGCGUAUAUUAAAGUUGUUGCAGUUAAAAAGCUCGUAGUUGGAUUUCUGUGAGAGUGCCGGUGUCGGCUGAUGCUUGUACGCAGGCGCUCUUACAUCCUUCUGUUAACUGUUCUUGGCAUUUUAUUGCUGGUUCAGGGCUCAGAUAUUUUACCUUGAGAAAAUUAGAGUGUUUCAGGCAGGCUUAUGCCGGAAUACAUUAGCAUGGAAUAAUGGAACAGGACCUGUGCGUCUCUCGGGGCGCCGGUCUCCGUUGUUGGUUUCGGGGACUAAUGUAAUGAUUAAUAGGGAUAGUUGGGGGCAUUAGUAUUUAAUAGUCAGAGGUGAAAUUCUCGGAUUUGUUAAAGACUAACUUAUGCGAAAGCAUUUGCCAAGGAUGUUUUCAUUG